CCAAGAUGUCGCAGCCCAAGAAAAGAAAGCUUGAGUCGGGGGGCGGCGGCGAAGGAGGGGAGGGAGCUGAGGAGGAAGAUGGCGGAGAGCAGGAGGCGGCCCUGCCGCGACCCCGGAGGGCUAGGCGGGAGCGGGACCAGCUGUACUACGAGUGCUACUCGGACAUAUCCGUCCACGAGGAGAUGAUUGCGGACCGCGUCCGCACGGAUGCCUAUCGCCUGGGCAUCCUGCGGAACUGGUCAGCACUGCGGGGCAAGACUGUGCUGGACGUGGGCGCGGGCACCGGCAUUCUUAGCAUCUUCUGUGUGCAGGCCGGGGCCCGGCGCGUGUACGCGGUGGAGGCCAGCGCCAUCUGGCAACAGGCCCGGGAGGUGGUGCGGCUCAACGGCCUGGAGGACCGGGUGCACGUCUUGCCGGGGCCAGUGGAGACGGUGGAGUUGCCGGAGCAGGUGGAUGCCAUCGUGAGCGAGUGGAUGGGCUACGGACUCUUGCACGAGUCCAUGCUGAGCUCUGUGCUCUACGCGCGGACCAAGUGGCUGAAGGAGGGCGGUCUUCUCCUGCCGGCUUCCGCCGAGCUCUUCGUGGCGCCCAUCAGCGACCAGAUGCUGGAGUUGCGCCUAGGCUUCUGGAGCCAGGUGAAGCAGCUCUAUGGUGUGGACAUGAGCUGCCUGGAGAGCUUCGCCACGCGCUGCCUUAUGGGCCACUCGGAGAUCGUGGUGCAGGGUUUGUCUGGGGAGGAUGUACUGGCCCGGCCGCAGCGCUUUGCUCAGCUGGAGCUGGCCCGCACCGGCCUGGAGCAGGAGCUGGAGGCUGGGGUGGGCGGACGCUUCCGCUUCAGUUGCUACGGCUCGGCGCCCAUGCACGGCUUUGCCAUCUGGUUCCAGGUGACCUUCCCCGGAGGGGACUCGGAGAAACCGCUGGUGCUGUCCACUUCGCCUUUUCAUCCGGUCACGCACUGGAAGCAGGCACUCCUCUACCUGAACGAACCUGUGCAAGUGGAACAAGAUACGGACAUUUCCGGAGAGAUCACGCUGCUGCCCUCCCGGGAUAACCACCGUCUCCUGCGCGUGCUGCUGCGCUACAAAGUAGGCGACCAGGAGGAGAAGACCAAAGACUUUGCCAUGGAGGACUGAUCGUUGCCUUUUCUCGCAACUACCUCCCGAAUCUGCAGGACCCGCGUGGUAGAGGCGGAGGGGGGUUCUGGAGGAGAAAGGGAGAUUCCACGUGCAAGUGUUUGGCAGUAUCAGCAUGGCUUUGUGUGAUGAGCAAUGUAUGACUGGACACCAGAUGAUCCAAAGGAAGUCCAAGCCCUUUGGAGUGACAACAUUUCCAGAAGGAUGAGAAUGUGAACUGUUCCAAUAUCCAGGCACUGUUCAGUCUCUGUGUGAACUGGCACUGAUUGCCUAGGGUCAUUUGGGCCACAGGAAGAACUGUCAGCCCUAAGAAGAGAAAGAAACGGUGAAGUUCUACCUGCUUUUUUCAGGCAGCUUACAUUUAUUUAGCACUGUGAAACUUUCCAAAUAUUUACAUUCACUGGACCAAUGCACAUUUUAUUGAGAAUACCAGGUAACAGUCAUUGUGAGAAGCACUUAGGAUACAAACCAAUAAAACAUAGCUUUUGCUUCCAAAUAGAUGUGUUCAUAGGAUAAACCAGAAAGAAAAAUACAUAAAUGAUAACGGGCUAAAGACUUGGGAUGGUGUAAGUGUUAGGAAAGGCAGGUCACUUUACAUAGUAGGAAAAAGACUUCGUUACUGAAGGAUGCCUAUGUUUACAUAGCUAAUUCUUGACAGUUGAACACAAGUAUUUCAGUUCCUACCCCCAAACAACCUCUUAAUUUAAGAAGGUUCCAUUGGGAUCUAAGUCAUAAGCCUCAAAGAGCCACCAUAGGAUCUCAAGGUUGACAAUUACUAAUUACUAGGGACUUGUGAAACAUACCGUGUACUCGUUUCCCUAAGAGGGCUGAUCAAGUGUGGCAUUCUUUCUGAAGCCUCCAGGAGAAAAUUCUCAAUGCAGUAGCAAAGAAAAGUAGAUACAUUCUGCCAUUCUGGUUAUAGGUACUUUGUGCUUGAGAUCAGAGAGGCAUCCAGUGAGGUGUUCACUAAUUUAAUGAUUUCAUAAACACCAACUAUCUAACAACUUCUAUGAUAAAUAAGCAAAUGGUACCCUCAACUGGAAUACAAGAGGGGAAUAAAAUCACCUAGACCAGUAAUUUGCAUACAUUAUUUAACCUGGAAGAAUUCAAUCCAGCUAAAUCUUAACCUCUGCUGAAGCAAGAAUGAGAAGCCAGCCCUUUUGUCAACUGUAACCUUAAAAUUCCUCUCAAGUGCAGAAUUCCUCUCUAUGUUACUUAUCACAUAGAUUAUGAGGACCUCACAGAAAGAUGUGAUGUAAAGAGGAAGAUGAUAUAAUGAGACUAUUCCUCAAAACAUUGCAUAUGCAUGUAGGAUGAGACAUUUGAAACAAAAAAUCUGGAUCUACCUAAGCACAAAAUUGUAAUAAAAAGUAAGACAUGACCAGUAACAUUGGAAUUGUGCUCCUCUGGGAGCUUUGAUGAUUAAGUUCAUUAUUUAUAAUAACUUGGAAUAAAGACUGAUGAAUUUUUUAGUUGAUUGGGUAGCUUUUUAACUUACAAUAAAUACAGAAAGCUGUAAGGAAGGAAAAAAAUUCCUCCUUUGUUCAUGCUGCCCCCUGCACAAAAAGGAAGGUGGGGUGGAGGUAAAUCUUCCCCACACUUUUUUAAAGUGCUUUACCAGUGUUCUUGCAAUCAGAUGAAAGAGGUACUUGUGAAAACCUUCCCAGUCUGUAAUAUUUUGCACUAAAAAUGGCGAACUUCAGGGAAAAUUAGUUUGGGUGGACAAUUAAAACUUAUGUAACUUUGUAACCAAGAGUACUAAGAAUACCAAUAAAGAUAGCAGCAGUUAAAAAAAAAAAAAAGAUGCUAGUCCUAAUAAUACUUCAGUAAAUAAGAUAGUGUGAUGGAAGAAAAAAAGGAAGAGUUACUGAGAAAGCAGAAUGCACAAAAAUGGAUUGAAGGUGUAAUAAACAUUUCAGGAUACAGCAUGUGGCCAAACAGUGCCAAGAGGAAGAAUAUAGGGUGUGACAGAUUUUUGACUCGCAUCAACUGUGUCCAUAUACCUUAUGUCAGGUGGUUGUUGCCUGGUGAGAGGAGUCAACCGACUAACCAAUGUCCGUCCACAUUAUGUUCUGACAUUGUUCCUCUACUUACCAAUACCAUUUGAGUUUAUUCAUUUAUAGAAACAUGCAUGACAGUAGAACAUUCUGUCCUUUGUUCUAUUUCCAGAAAUUAAACCAAUUUG